rnacentral:rRNA from 1 species
UACGUAGGGUGCAAGCGUUAAUCGGAAUUACUGGGCGUAAGCGUGCGCAGGCGGUUUGUAAGUUUGUCGUGAAAGCCCCGGGCUCAACCUGGGAAUUGCGAUGAGGACUGCAAGGCUUGAAUCUGGCAGAGGGGGGUAGAAUUCCACGUGUAGCAGGUGAAAUGCGUAGAGAUGAUGGAGGAACACCGAUGGCGAAGGCAGCCCCCUGGGCAAGAUUGACGCUCAUGCACGAAAGCGUGGGGAGCAAACAGG